rnacentral:sRNA from 2 species
UGUAUCUGAAGUCUGACGAGGAUGAGAACCUCCGGGGGCAAGAGGUUCGACUCGAGCGAAGCGAGAGAACGUUGCGUCAGCAACGGCCCGCAGGGCGAGCCACGCAGU